rnacentral:rRNA from 1 species
CACGUCGGGCGCAAGCGUUGUCCGGAAUUAUUGGGCGUAAAGAGCUCGUAGGCGGUCUGUUGCGUCCGCUGUGAAAACUCGGGGCUUAACCCCGAGCCUGCAGUGGAUACGGGCAGACUAGAGGUAGGUAGGGGAGAAUGGAAUUCCCGGUGUAGCGGUGAAAUGCGCAGAUAUCGGGAGGAACACCGGUGGCGAAGGCGGUUCUCUGGGCCUUACCUGACGCUGAGGAGCGAAAGCGUGGGGAGCGAACAGG